CUUUCCUUCCCUCUUCCGAUGUAAUUGAUACGUGUCAUUACCACCGCCUCAAAUCCCUCUUUCCACUUCCUGAUCCAUCUUAUCCACCACUACCCUGUGUGAGGGCUUCUGUUUAGAACCUAUUGAGAACUGCCAUCACCAAUGUCUGCUUGCAUCACCGAUCUCUGCCAGCUGCAACCAUCGUCAUCCCGUCGGCUUUUGGCUUCAGCCUGACACCUAUUUUCCAUCAUUUUUCCGUUGACUUUCAACUGUUCAACGUCUACACCACAAGCGAUUUGCGAUUUGUAGCUAAGCAUAUUUUUAUUUCGGAUUUGAACGAAGCUAUUGUUCAAUUUCGGUAUACUUUGGAUUUUGUUUUUUUCAUUCUUUAUUAUGAAAUUUGAAAGUGAGUUUGAUGAUGUACACCAAGUGCUCGAUGAAAUGUUACAACCAAAUGUUAAUGUUUCUUACAUCUGUUGGACUCUGUGGAUGCAUAGAUUUCCAAGCACUAUGAUGUUGUCGAUCUUUUACUGUGUCCAUGGUAAAUAUGUGGAAUUGAGAUAAAGCAUUGGUGGUUUUUAGGGCUGAUUGGAGAUGUGUUGUUGACAACCUUUUAACCAAAAAAAGGUGUUGCAAAGGCUUCAACAACUAAACUAUAUACUCAAUCAUCAACUACAUAUGAUUCUCUCCAAAGGAAUCCUUUUGAAUGAGGGUAAAACGACUAAAUCCAUUCUCUCCUGGGGCAAUUACCACUAAUCAUUGAAGACCGUAUGCAAACAUUCUCAAGAUACAGGAACAAGAAAAUAAAGAGAAAUUUUGGCAGAAAAAUGAAGAGUAUGCUUACAGGAAGGCUUUGAAAGUUUCUCAAACUAAAGACAAAAUGAAGGAGACCUUGUCAAAACAAGCUGUUAAAGAUUGCUUACUUAUUGGAAAAAUAAAUGGUUUGGUGGAGUCGAAAGUGAUUUGUAUGGUUAGUCUUUUAUUUCAUUGUUAUAAUGAUUUUUUUACAAUUAAAUCAAUUUAGUCACUUGAUUAUUUUUUUUGUAGU